rnacentral:rRNA from 1 species
UACGUAGGGUGCAAGCGUUGUCCGGAAUUAUUGGGCGUAAAGAGCUCGUAGGCGGUCUGUCGCGUCGGACGUGAAAAUCCAGGGCUCAACCCUGGACCUGCGUUCGAUACGGGCAGACUAGAGUUCGGUAGGGGAGACUGGAAUUCCUGGUGUAGCGGUGAAAUGCGCAGAUAUCUGGAGGAACACCGGUGGCGAAGGCGGCAUCCUGGACCGAGAUUGACGCUGAGGCGCGAAAGCCAGGGGAGCAAACGGG